GACGUAGGAUGCGAGCGUUAUUCGGAUUUAUUGGGCGUAAAGCGUGCGUAGGCGGCUGUUUAAGUCUGGUGUUAAAGCUAGGGGCUCAACCCCUGUGAUGCACUGGAAACUGGGCAGCUUGAGUGCGGUAGGGGAAGGUGGAAUUCCGAGUGUAGCGGUGAAAUGCGUAGAGAUCGGAAAGAACACCAACGGCGAAAGCACUCUGCUGGGCCGACACUGACACUGAGAGACGAAAGCUAGGGGAGCGAAUGGG
rnacentral:rRNA from 1 species